rnacentral:snoRNA from 1 species
AAGACUAUACUUUCAGGGAUCAUUUCUAUAGUUUGUACUACAGGAUUCCAGCUAUAGGACAUUCUGGGAAAGGCAAAACUACGGGGACAGUUAAAAGAUAAGUAGC